AGGGUGCAAGCGUUGUUCGGAUUCAUUGGGCGUAAAGGGUGCGUAGGCGGUCGCGCAAGUCGGAUGUGAAAUCUCAGGGCUCAACCCUGAAACUGCAUUCGAUACUGCGUGGCUAGAGUGCUGGAGGGGAGACUGGAAUUUACGGUGUAGCAGUGAAAUGCGUAGAUAUCGUAAGGAAGACCAGUGGCGAAGGCGAGUCUCUGGACAGCAACUGACGCUGAGGCACGAAGGCCAGGGGAGCAAACGGG
rnacentral:rRNA from 1 species